GAUUUCCGUAGGUGAACCUGCGGAGGGAUCAUUACACAAAUAUGAAGGCGGGCUGGAAUCUCUCGGGGUUACAGCCUUGCUGAAUUAUUCACCCUUGUCUUUUGCGUACUUCUUGUUUCCUUGGUGGGUUCGCCCACCACUAGGACAAACAUAAACCUUUUGUAAUUGCAAUCAGCGUCAGUAACAAAUUAAUAAUUACAACUUUCAACAACGGAUCUCUUGGUUCUGGCAUCGAUGAAGAACGCAGCGAAAUGCGAUAAGUAGUGUGAAUUGCAGAAUUCAGUGAAUCAUCGAAUCUUUGAACGCACAUUGCGCCCCCUGGUAUUCCGGGGGGCAUGCCUGUCCGAGCGUCAUUACACCCCUCAAGCCUGGCUUGGUAUUGGGCGUCGCGGGCCUCGCCCGCGCGCCUUAAAGUCUCCCCGGCUGGACCGUCUGUCCCUAAAGCGUCGUGCAAACCUCGCGGUGGGAUUUGAUGGGCCGGCCGUUAAAUCUUUAUCAAAGGUUGACCUCGGAUCAGGUAGGGAUACCCGCUGAACUUAAGCAUAUCAAUAAGCGGAGGAAAUCGUGAUCCCUCCGCAGGUUCACCUACGGAAAUC
rnacentral:rRNA from 1 species